UACGUAGGGUGCGAGCGUUAAUCGGAAUUACUGGGCGUAAAGCGUGCGCAGGCGGUUCGUUGUGUCGGUGGUGAAAUCCCCGGGCUUAACCUGGGAAUGGCCAUGGAAACUGGCGAGCUUGAGUGCGGCAGAGGGGGUGGAAUUCCGCGUGUAGCAGUGAAAUGCGUAGAGAUGCGGAGGAACACCGAUGGCGAAGGCAGCCCCCUGGGUCGACACUGACGCUCAGGCACGAAAGCGUGGGGAGCAAACAGG
rnacentral:rRNA from 1 species